CAACUGCUGGUCUUCUGACCCUGCAGCACAGAGGCUUCUGUGGUUUAGCCCGCAGCGCCACCACACCCCCUACUUUUGUGGCACCUAAAGGCAGACCUGGCAAAAUGUCCCAGCAUGAAUUGGAUGUGUAGAUGGACAUAUCAAUUGAAUGUUUUCCAGUUGCAGCUGAUUGCAAUCAGGAAGAUCUUCUGAAGGUUCGCGGCUGCCUCUGGAGCUCCAGCCGGCUCCGAGCUGAGCUGAACCACGGUACUGCGCAAGUGGAUGAGAGCUGAAGUGACAGUGU